GACGAACGCUGGCGGCGUGCUUAACACAUGCAAGUCGAACGGAAAGGCCCCUUUGGGGGUACUCGAGUGGCGAACGGGUGAGUAACACGUGCGUAACCUGCCCUUGACUUCGGGAUAACUUCAGGAAACUGGGGCUAAUACCGGAUAGGAAUCCUUGCUGCAUGGUGGGGGUUGGCAAGCUUCGGCGGUUUUGUAUGGACUCGCGGCCUAUCAGCUUGUUGGUGUGGUAGUGGCUUACCAAGGCUUUGACGGGUAGCCGGCGUGAGAGGGCGACCGGCCACAUUGGGACUGAGAUACGGCCCAGACUCCGACGGGAGGCAGCAGUGGGGAAGAUUGCACAAGGGGCGGAGGCGUGAUGCAGCAACGCCGCGGGCGGGAUGACGGCGUUCGGGUUGGAAACCGCAUUCAGCAGGGGCGAAGCUUGUGGUGACGGUACCUGCAGAAGAAGCACCGGCUAACUACGUG
rnacentral:rRNA from 1 species